rnacentral:rRNA from 1 species
UACGUAGGGUGCAAGCGUUACUCGGAAUUACUGGGCGUAAAGCGUGCGCAGGCGGUUGUGCAAGACAGAUGUGAAAUCCCCGGGCUUAACCUGGGAACUGCAUUUGUGACUGCAUGGCUAGAGUGUGUCAGAGGGGGGUAGAAUUCCACGUGUAGCAGUGAAAUGCGUAGAUAUGUGGAGGAAUACCGAUGGCGAAGGCAGCCCCCUGGGAUAACACUGACGCUCAUGCACGAAAGCGUGGGGAGCAAACAGG